rnacentral:rRNA from 1 species
UACGAAGGGUGCAAGCGUUAAUCGGAAUUACUGGGCGUAAAGGGUGCGUAGGCGGUUGUUUAAGUCUGUCGUGAAAUCCCCGGGCUCAACCUGGGAAUGGCGAUGGAUACUGGGCAGCUAGAGUGUGUCAGAGGAUGGUGGAAUUCCCGGCGUAGCGGUGAAAUGCGUAGAGAUCGGGAGGAACAUCAGUGGCGAAGGCGGCCAUCUGGGACAACACUGACGCUGAAGCACGAAAGCGUGGGGAGCAAACAGG